rnacentral:rRNA from 4 species
AAAUUGAAGAGUUUGAUCAUGGCUCAGAUUGAACGCUGGCGGCAGGCCUAACACAUGCAAGUCGAGCGGUAGCACAGAGAGCUUGCUCUCGGGUGACGAGCGGCGGACGGGUGAGUAAUGUCUGGGAAACUGCCUGAUGGAGGGGGAUAACUACUGGAAACGGUAGCUAAUACCGCAUAAUGUCGCAAGACCAAAGUGGGGGACCUUCGGGCCUCAUGCCAUCAGAUGUGCCCAGAUGGGAUUAGCUAGUAGGUGGGGUAACGGCUCACCUAGGCGACGAUCCCUAGCUGGUCUGAGAGGAUGACCAGCCACACUGGAACUGAGACACGGUCCAGACUCCUACGGGAGGCAGCAGUGGGGAAUAUUGCACAAUGGGCGCAAGCCUGAUGCAGCCAUGCCGCGUGUGUGAAGAAGGCCUUCGGGUUGUAAAGCACUUUCAGCGGGGAGGAAGGCGAUAAGGUUAAUAACCUUGUCGAUUGACGUUACCCGCAGAAGAAGCACCGGCUAACUCCGUGCCAGCAGCCGCGGUAAUACGGAGGGUGCAAGCGUUAAUCGGAAUUACUGGGCGUAAAGCGCACGCAGGCGGUCUGUCAAGUCGGAUGUGAAAUCCCCGGGCUCAACCUGGGAACUGCAUUCGAAACUGGCAGGCUAGAGUCUUGUAGAGGGGGGUAGAAUUCCAGGUGUAGCGGUGAAAUGCGUAGAGAUCUGGAGGAAUACCGGUGGCGAAGGCGGCCCCCUGGACAAAGACUGACGCUCAGGUGCGAAAGCGUGGGGAGCAAACAGGAUUAGAUACCCUGGUAGUCCACGCCGUAAACGAUGUCGAUUUGGAGGUUGUGCCCUUGAGGCGUGGCUUCCGGAGCUAACGCGUUAAAUCGACCGCCUGGGGAGUACGGCCGCAAGGUUAAAACUCAAAUGAAUUGACGGGGGCCCGCACAAGCGGUGGAGCAUGUGGUUUAAUUCGAUGCAACGCGAAGAACCUUACCUGGUCUUGACAUCCACAGAACUUAGCAGAGAUGCUUUGGUGCCUUCGGGAACUGUGAGACAGGUGCUGCAUGGCUGUCGUCAGCUCGUGUUGUGAAAUGUUGGGUUAAGUCCCGCAACGAGCGCAACCCUUAUCCUUUGUUGCCAGCGGUUCGGCCGGGAACUCAAAGGAGACUGCCAGUGAUAAACUGGAGGAAGGUGGGGAUGACGUCAAGUCAUCAUGGCCCUUACGACCAGGGCUACACACGUGCUACAAUGGCAUAUACAAAGAGAAGCGACCUCGCGAGAGCAAGCGGACCUCAUAAAGUAUGUCGUAGUCCGGAUUGGAGUCUGCAACUCGACUCCAUGAAGUCGGAAUCGCUAGUAAUCGUAGAUCAGAAUGCUACGGUGAAUACGUUCCCGGGCCUUGUACACACCGCCCGUCACACCAUGGGAGUGGGUUGCAAAAGAAGUAGGUAGCUUAACCUUCGGGAGGGCGCUUACCACUUUGUGAUUCAUGACUGGGGUGAAGUCGUAACAAGGUAACCGUAGGGGAACCUGCGGUUGGAUCACCUCCUUA